UUUCCGUAGGUGAACCUGCGGAAGGAUCAUUACCGAGUGCGGGUUCUCACGAGCCCAACCUCCCACCCGUGUUUACCGUUACCGCGUUGCCUCGGCGGGCCCACUGGGGCCUGGCCCCGGUCGCCGGGGGGCUUCUGCCCCCGGGCCCGCGCCCGCCGACGCACCCUAGAACCCUGCCUGAAUAGUGAGUCUGAGUGAGAUUUGAAAUCAUUAAAACUUUCAACAACGGAUCUCUUGGUUCCGGCAUCGAUGAAGAACGCAGCGAAAUGCGAUAAGUAAUGUGAAUUGCAGAAUUCCGUGAAUCAUCGAAUCUUUGAACGCACAUUGCGCCCCCUGGCAUUCCGGGGGGCAUGCCUGUCCGAGCGUCAUUUCUGCCCUCCAGCACGGCUGGGUGUUGGGCGCUGUCCCCCCGGGGACACGCCCCAAAAGCAGUGGCGGCGCCGCGUCGGGUCCUCGAGCGUAUGGGGCUUUGUCACCCGCUCGGGAGGGACUCGGUCGGCGCUGGUCUUCCCUUUAGGCCGCCCUUCGGGGUGCGCCUCUUCCGGUUGACCUCGGAUCAGGUAGGGCUACCCGCUGAACUUAA
rnacentral:rRNA from 1 species